GCAUUCUGGGGGUCGUUUCGGCUUGUGGUUGUUUUCUUGGCCUUGGUGCCAAGGGGGUGGCUGYAAGUUGGGUGGUCUUCGGGGAUGACGACCGUAAAGGUGCAUGAGUGGUGUUUGGUUUGUUACGGGUGGUUGGUGAUCUGCUUGAGCAGCGCCUUCUACGCGUUCAURCCUCUUCAGUUGUGCGACAAGACUUUAUUUGUCUUGAGCAUGUGGUGGGUUUCCUGUGUUGCAUACCUAAUCGAUGGCAUCGUUUGGMUUUGAUCAAAGCCCCUUUCGUGAUGCGUCGCUUGCGGCGUUGAACGGACCUCGAAAYGGUCUCUGUGGUCCAUGUAUUCGUUGCGCAUGCAUCGAUGGCAUGGCCCUCGGAGCGUYGUUUGGACUCUUGGAUACGGAACCUGAUGUGGGCUGUAGUUUCUUCAUUGAUGCUAUUGUUGCCCUCGUUGAGCGUUCUCGCUUCUCUAAACGACCKACUAUCAUGYAUUGGCAUGCCUGUGCAUGGUGUGGUGGGCUGUGUCGAAGAGGAAUGCUACCUGGUUGAUCCUGCCAGUAGUCAUAUGCUUGUCUCAA
rnacentral:misc_RNA from 1 species